rnacentral:rRNA from 1 species
UGGAGAGUUUGAUCCUGGCUCAGAACGAACGCUGGCGGCAGGCUUAACACAUGCAAGUCGAGCGCCUCGCAAGAGGAGCGGCAGACGGGUGAGUAACACGUGGGAAUCUACCCAUCCCUGCGGAACAACUCCGGGAAACUGGAGCUAAUACCGCAUACGCCCUACGGGGGAAAGAUUUAUCGGGGAUGGAUGAGCCCGCGUUGGAUUAGCUAGUUGGUGGGGUAAAGGCCUACCAAGGCGACGAUCCAUAGCUGGUCUGAGAGGAUGAUCAGCCACAUUGGGACUGAGACACGGCCCAAACUCCUACGGGAGGCAGCAGUGGGGAAUAUUGGACAAUGGGCGCAAGCCUGAUCCAGCCAUGCCGCGUGAGUGAUGAAGGCCUUAGGGUUGUAAAGCUCUUUCACCGAUGAAGAUAAUGACGGUAGUCGGAGAAGAAGCCCCGGCUAACUUCGUGCCAGCAGCCGCGGUA